rnacentral:misc_RNA from 1 species
GAUGAAGAAACGUAGCGAAAUGUGAUAAGUAAUGUGAAUUGCAGAAUUCAGUGAAUCAUCGAAUCUUUGAACGCACAUUGCGCCCGCCAGUAUUCUGGCGGGCAUGCCUGUCUGAGCGUCAUUUCAACCCUCAAGCAACUUCUGCUUGGUGUUGGGGAUCGGCCGUCAAACGCCGCCCCCGAAAUCUAUUGGCGAUCUCGCUGUAGCUUCCUAUGCGUAGUAGUAACAUCUCGCAUCUGGAGAGCGGCGCGGUCAUGCCGUAAAACACCCAACUUCUCAGGUUGACCUCAGAUCAGGUAGGAAUACCCGCUGAACUUAAGCAUAUCAAUAAGCGGAGGA